rnacentral:rRNA from 1 species
GAGUUUGAUCCUGGCUCAGGACGAACGCUGGCGGCGCGCCUAACACAUGCAAGUCGAACGAGAGAGAGGGAGCUUGCUUCCUUGAUCGAGUGGCGAACGGGUGAGUAACGCGUGAGGAACCUGCCUCAAAGAGGGGGACAACAGUUGGAAACGACUGCUAAUACCGCAUAAGCCCACGGUGCCGCAUGGCACAGAGGGAAAAGGAGCAAUCCGCUUUGAGAUGGCCUCGCGUCCGAUUAGCUAGUUGGUGAGGUAACGGCCCACCAAGGCAACGAUCGGUAGCCGGACUGAGAGGUUGAACGGCCACAUUGGGACUGAGACACGGCCCAGACUCCUACGGGAGGCAGCAGUGGGGAAUAUUGCACAAUGGGGGGAACCCUGAUGCAGCAACGCCGCGUGAGUGAAGAAGUAUUUCGGUAUGUAAAGCUCUAUCAGCAGGGAAGAUAAUGACGGUACCUGACUAAGAAGCACCGGCUAAAUACGUGCCAGCAGCCGCGGUAAUAC